rnacentral:tRNA from 1 species
AGUCCCGAGGUGAUUUUCAUGUUGAAUUGCAAAUUCAAGGGAGCAGUUUUAAAGUUUCUGCCGGGGCUU